rnacentral:rRNA from 1 species
UGAGGAAUAUUGGUCAAUGGGUGCAAGCCUGAACCAGCCAUCCCGCGUGAAGGACGACUGCCCUAUGGGUUGUAAACUUCUUUUGUAUAGGGAUAAACCUACCCUCGUGAGAGUAGCUGAAGGUACUAUACGAAUAAGCACCGGCUAACUCCGUGCCAGCAGCCGCGGUACUACGGAGGGUGCAAGCGUUAUCCGGAUUUAUUGGGUUUAAAGGGUCCGUAGGCGGACGUAUAAGUCAGUGGUGAAAGCCUGUCGCUUAACGAUAGAACUUGCAUUGAUACUGUAAGUCUUGAGUAUAUUUGAGGUAGCUGGAAUAAGUAGUGUAGCGGUGAAAUGCAUAGAUAUUACUUAGAACACCAAUUGCGAAGGCAGGUUACCAAGAGAGAACUGACGCUGAGGGACGAAAGCGUGGGGAGCGAACA